UACGAAGGUGGCAAGCGUUACUCGGAAUUACUAGGCGUAAAGCGCAGGUAGGCGGUUCGAUAAGUCUUUUGUGAAAGCUCCCGGCUUAACUGGGAGAGGCCAAGGGAAACUGUCGGACUAGAGUGUGGUAGAGGGUGCUGGAAUUCCCGGUGUAGCGGUGAAAUGCGUAGAGAUCGGGAGGAAUACCUAUGGCGAAAGCAGGCACCUGGGCCAUCACUGACGCUGAGCUGCGAAAGCUAGGGGAGCAAACAGG
rnacentral:rRNA from 1 species